AAUUGCCAUAAAGCCCAUAGCAGAAGCGCUCAUGUUGCAGCCCUGUCAGAUUCUCAAGAAUCUGCAAAUUCUGCU
rnacentral:ribozyme from 1 species